rnacentral:rRNA from 1 species
UACAGAGGUCCCGAGCGUUGUUCGGAUUCACUGGGCGUAAAGGGUGCGUAGGUGGUGAGGUAAGUCGGAUGUGAAAUCUCCGGGCUCAACCCGGAAAUGGCAUUGGAAACUACCUUGCUGGAGGAUUGGAGGGGGGACUGGAAUUCUUGGUGUAGCAGUGAAAUGCGUAGAUAUCAAGAGGAACACCAGUGGCGAAGGCGAGUCCCUGGACAAUACCUGACACUGAGGCACGAAAGCCGGGGGAGCAAACAGG